UACAGAGGUCUCAAGCGUUGUUCGGAUUCAUUGGGUGUAAAGGGUGCGUAGGCGGCGCGGUAAGUCGGGUGUGAAAUCUUGGAGCUUAACUCCGAAACUGCAUUCGAUACUGCCGUGCUUGAGGACUGGAGAGGAGACUGGAAUUUACGGUGUAGCAGUGAAAUGCGUAGAUAUCGUAAGGAAGACCAGUGGCGAAGGCGGGUCUCUGGACAGUUCCUGACACUGAGACACGAAGGCCAGGGGAGCAAACGGG
rnacentral:rRNA from 1 species